rnacentral:rRNA from 1 species
AUUGAACGCUGGCGGCAGGCCUAACACAUGCACGUCGAGCGAGCGGCGGACGGGUGAGUAAUGUCUGGGAAACUGCCUGAUGGAGGGGGAUAACUACUGGAAACGGUAGCUAAUACCGCAUACCAUCAGAUUUUCCCAGAUGGGAUUAGCUAGUAGGGGGGGUAACGGCUCACCUAGGCGACGAUCCCUAGCUGGUCUGAGAGGAUGACCAGCCACACUGGAACUGAGACACGGGCCAGACGCCUACGGGAGGCAGUAGUGGGGAAUAUUGCACAAUGGGCGCAAGCCUGAGGCAGCCAUGCCGCGUGUGUGAAGAAGGCCUUCGGGUUGGAAAGCACUGUCAGCGGGGAGGCGUUACCCGCAGAAGAAGCACCGGCUAACUCCGUGCCAGCAGCCGCGGUAAUAC